rnacentral:rRNA from 1 species
UACGUAGGGUGCAAGCGUUAAUCGGAAUUACUGGGCGUAAAGCGCGUGUAGGCGGCUCGAUAAGUCUGCUGUGAAAGUCCAGGGCUCAACCCUGGGAUGCCGGUGGAUACUGUCGAGCUUGAGUCCGGAAGAGGCGAGUGGAAUUCCUGGUGUAGCGGUGAAAUGCGCAGAUAUCAGGAGGAACACCUAUGGCGAAGGCAGCUCGCUGGGACGUGACUGACGCUGAGACGCGAAAGCGUGGGGAGCAAACAGG